rnacentral:rRNA from 1 species
GACGAACGCUGGCGGCGUGCUUAACACAUGCCAGUCGAACGGAAAGGCCCUGCUUUUGUGGGGUGCUCGAGUGGCAAACGGGUGAGUAACACGUGAUUAACCUGCCCUUGACUUUGGGAUAACUUCAGGAAACUGGGGCUAAUACCGGAUAGGAGCUCCUGCUGCAUGGUGGGGGUGGGAAAGUUUGGGCGGUUGGGGAUGGACCGGCGGCUUUUCAGCUUGUUGGUGGGGUAGUGGCUUACCAAGGCUUUGACGGGUAGCCGGCCUGAGAGGGUGACCGGCCACAUUGGGACUGAGAUACGGCCCAGACUCCUACGGGAGGCAGCAGUGGGGAAUAUUGCACAAUGGGCGGAAGCCUGAUGCAGCAACGCCGCGUGCGGGAUGACGGCCUUCGGGUUGUAAACCGCUUUCGCCUGUGACGAAGCGUGAGUGACGGUAAUGGGUAAAGAAGCACCGGCUAACUACGUG